ensembl:snoRNA
GUUGAGGUCUAUCCUGAUGGGGCUUUUUUGUAAACCUACAUUGCUGGAAAUGCCUCAUAGAGUGACUAUGGUUUCCUUUAAUCAUAGAUUAAAUCAUGUAUUAGAUCUGUGGUAAAGAACUGUAAGUCAGAA